AACGAACGCUGGCGGCAGGCCUAACACAUGCAAGUCGAACGCAUCCUUCGGGGUGAGUGGCAGACGGGUGAGUAACGCGUGGGAACCUACCUUGUGGUACGGAACAACCAAGGGAAACUUUGGCUAAUACCGUAUGAGCCCGAGAGGGGAAAGAUUUAUCGCCAUGAGAUGGGCCCGCGUCGGAUUAGCUAGUUGGUGAGGUAACGGCUCACCAAGGCGACGAUCCGUAGCUGGUCUGAGAGGAUGACCAGCCACACUGGGACUGAGACACGGCCCAGACUCCUACGGGAGGCAGCAGUGGGGAAUAUUGGACAAUGGGCGGAAGCCUGAUCCAGCCAUGCCGCGUGUGUGAUGAAGGCCUUAGGGUUGUAAAGCACUUUCGCCGAUGAAGAUAAUGACGGUAGUCGGAGAAGAAGCCCCGGCUAACUUCGUGCCAGCAGCCGCCGUAAGAC
rnacentral:rRNA from 1 species